rnacentral:tRNA from 2 species
GGGGGCGUAGCUCAGCUGGGAGAGCACCUGCUUUGCAAGCAGGGGGUCCACGGUUCGAUCCCGUGCGUCUCCACCA